rnacentral:rRNA from 1 species
UGAAUUGACGGGACCGCACAAGCAGCGGUAGCGUGUGGUUUAAUUCGAUGCUACACGAAGAACCUUACCAGGGUUUGACAUGCAAGUGGUAGGAAACUGAAAAGGACCGACCCUUCGGGAGCUUGCACAGGUGCUGCAUGGCUGUCGUCAGCUCGUGUCGUGAGAUGUUCGGUUAAGUCCGCUAACGAGCGCAACCCUCACUGUGUGUUAUAUGUGUCACACGGGACUGCCGGUUUUAAGCCGGAGGAAGUGGGAUGACGUCAAGUCAGCAUGGCCUUUAUAUCCUGGGCUACACACACGCUACAAUGGUCGGUACAAUAGGUUGCGAAACCGCGAGGUGGAGCCAAUCCUCAAAGUCUGUCUCAGUUCAGAUUGUAGGCUGCAACUCGCCUGCAUGAAGUUGGAGUUGCUAGUAAACGCAGGUCAGCUAUACUGCGUUGAAUACGUUCCCGGGUUU